GACGAACCGUGCGAACGUUGUUCGGAAUUACUGGGCGUAAAGCGUGCGUAGCCGGCUAUCUAAGUCGGGUGUGAAAGCCCCGGGCUCAACCUGGGAAUUGCAUUCGAGACUGAAUAGCUAGGGUACGGUAGAGGGAAGCGGAAUUUCCGGUGUAGCGGUGAAAUGCGUAGAUAUCGGAAGGAACAUCAGUGGCGAAAGCGGCUUCCUGGACCAGUACCGACGUUCAGGCACGAAAGCGUGGGGAGCAAACAGG
rnacentral:rRNA from 1 species